rnacentral:rRNA from 1 species
AUGCCGUUCCACAAAUUAGCUGCUGUACCAGUACUAGUAUGGCUGGGCGUAGCGCUUGCCACAAGGUUACCACGGGCUGGAGCAACACCGACACCACAUAGCAGCCAGUGCAAAACAAAAUGCGGCCGCGUAGACAUCCCUUACCCUUUCGGCAUCGUCGAUUCUCCUGAUGACGGCCACUGCGCCAUGCAUGAUGGCUUCGCCCUGACCUGCAACAAGACCGGGAUUAAUGGUAGGCGCCGCAGGCCAUUUGCUGGCGAUGUGGAGGUCGUCCACAUUUCGCUGCAGCGAGGUAAGGCCCGGAUGAAGGCGACCAUCUCCUCCUACUGCUACAACCUCACCUCUCGGGUUAUGGACACGGACCCGUGGUCGGUCGACCUCAAGGGUACGCCCUACAAGUUUGCGGGCACCAACAAGUUCACCGUCAUCGGCUGCCAAAGCCUGGUGUACAUCGUGGGCGAGCACGGCGACGACGCCCAAGACCAGUACAUGAGUGGGUGCGUGGCCAUGUGCUGGCGCGGAGGCAACGGCGAUGUCAGGUCGGCCCUCAGAAACGGCUCCUGCUCCGGGAUAGGCUGCUGCCAGACAGCCAUCCCCAAGGGGUUGCAGUACUACCAGGUGCUCUUCGAGCCUGGAGUCAACACGACGGAGAUCCACAACGUCAGCCGCUGCAGCUAUGCGGUGCUCAUGGACUCGUCCGACUUCACCUUCUCGACGACCUAUGUGACCUCGCGGGCGUUCAUUAACAACUACGGCGGCCAGGCGCCGUUCGUGGUUGACUGGUCUAUCGGAAACGAGACGUGCGACGCAGCCCGCAAGAAGCAUGUGUCCUAUGCGUGCGUCAGCGACAACAGCGAGUGCUUCAACUCACAGAAUGGACCAGGCUACAUCUGCAACUGCUCCAAAGGCUUCCAUGGUAAUCCUUACCUGCAACAUCUGGAGCGCGGAUGCAAAGACAUUGACGAAUGCAAGCACCCCCAACGGUAUCGCUGCUCAAAUGGCGGGGUCUGCAGAAACAGGCUGGGAGGCUAUGACUGUCCAUGCAAAUCUAGAUGGAAAGGCGUCGCCAAAGCGGGAACCUGUAUAGAUCAUUUCCCUCUAGCAGCAAAGCUGGCAGUCGGUGCAAUAGGUGGUAUUCUUCUUAUGUCGAUCAUAUCGUUCCUUAUUAUUCUUCACAAAGAGAAGAAGAAGAUGAAGGAAUUCUACAAAAAUAAUGGCGGCCCUCUAUUAGAGGAAGCAACAGGCAUUAAAAUUUUCAAAAAGGGGGAGCUCAAGCCAUUUUUGAAGAAUAGCAACAUAAUUGGAAAAGGUGGAUUUGGUAAAGUUUACAAGGGCCUUCUUGACAAUAAAGAAGUUGCAAUAAAGAAGCCAAUCAAUGGUAGCGUGCGAGAGAAUAAACAAUUUGCCAAUGAAGUCAUCAUCCAAUCUCAAGUCAUCCACAAGAACAUUGUUAGGCUCAUUGGAUGUUGCCUUGAAGUUGAAGCCCCCCUGCUGGUCUAUGAGUUUAUCUCACAAGGUAGCCUCCAUGAUAUUCUUCACAACCACAAUAACAAGGUGGCACUCAACUUGGAGGCACGUUUGAAUAUCGCUGCGCAGUCAGCCGAUGGGCUAGCUUAUAUGCACUCAAAAGCAAAUAUUAGAAUUCUACACGGUGAUGUCAAGCCAGCAAAUAUACUCUUGGAUGAUAACUUUGUACCCAAGAUUUCCGACUUCGGCAUAUCUAGGUUGCUUGCUAGAGACAAGGAACACACAGGAUCAGUCAUCGGUGACAUGAAUUAUAUGGAUCCAGUAUAUCAACGAGAAGGCCUACUCACCGAAAAAAGUGAUGUCUACAGUUUUGGAGUUGUGAUCCUGGAGCUUAUUAGUAGCAGGAGGGCCAUACAUUCUGAGAAUAAUAGCUUGUUAAAGAGCUUUCUUGAAUACGAUAAGAAAAAGGAAAAAAUGACCGAGCUUUUUGACAAGGAAAUUGCAAUAACAAAAGAUUUGGAGCUUCUUGAUAGUCUAGCAUGCAUGGCCCUGAAAUGCCUUAGCCUUGAUGUAGAACAAAGACCAACAAUGAUGGAGAUAGCUGAGCAGCUACUCAUACUGAGCCGCUCUCGUAAGGUGUAA